ensembl:lncRNA
UAUAUUAUAUAUUAUAUAUAAGAGUAAAAGAAGUUCUUGAAAAUCCGUCAACCAUCAUCACACAAAGAGCUUUAAACACUAAAGCGAACAAUACUUGUUGACCUGCACCAUCAUAUGUUGCAUAUAAAACUCCAGAUACCCAUCAGUUAGUACACUCAAGGCCCUGAUAAAGUUUAAACAGUUUAAACAUGUUUAUAUUGAAAAGCAUUGGAACCAUGAACAUAGUGUUCACCCAAUCAAAGCGACAGUGAGGGGAAUGAAGAAGUAUACAAAGCGCUUUAGAAUUAGUUCAUUAAUGUACAUUUCAGUUAAUGUUUUGAGUUUGUCAUAUUUCAAAAUCACUAUUUUGCUGCCUCCUAAACGACUUGCUUAAAAGAGGCUCAGCUACUGGACUUCACUAUGCAUCACAGGAAUUACCACUGGAGUAGUGUUGUGAUCGGUUGAGACUGAAACUAAAAUUAUUUGCCCUGCACACACCAGCAGGCGCUUUUUUUUUUUUUUAAAUGGGGCACACAAGGAUAAUAAUACUGAUACCGGAUAUUAUGUAUGCUGGGGGAUCACUGAUGCUUUAAAAUCGUAUUAAUCACAAUCUGGUUGCCUUUGCUAGAGGUUAAAAACUUGGCCAUAGAUGAAUCUUCAAUACACUGUCCCCAUACAUCCCUACAGGGGUGGAAUUAGCACUAGGCAAAAGCAGACAACUGCCUUGGGAUCCCAGAAGCCAAGGGACCCCUAAAAAUGCAAACUAUAUAUAUAUAUUUUUUUUUAAUUAUUAAUGCUAAAUAAUGCAUGCUGAAAAUUGAAGUAUUGAUGUUAAAACACUGGAAUGAUUUAUAUUGCUGUUAAUUCAGCAGCGACCAGGGGACACUGCUGUGUAGCAGCAAGCAUCACAACAGAGAAAGGAAGCUCAAGAAUAAUCGAGGUAAAUGUUUGUAAUUUAAUAGGGCCCCUAAAUAAAUAAAUAAAUCCACCCCCGCAUCCAGAUCAACAUAAGUGUAUGCAGAUCUCAAAAUGUGCUUUGCUAUAGAGGAUCUGAAUCUGAAACCUGUUAGUUUGAGGCUUGGCCAAACUAACCUUAAAGCACCUUAGAGCACAGUCCACAAGCGCAAACCUCAGAAUAUAAAGGAGUCGGAAAUGUUCUGCUCACCUGAGUGGUCCAAGAUCCUCUACCAGUGUCUCCAAUCUCGUCUUCAUUACGGAGAGAAUCAGUGCUGUUUAUUCAUUUAUUAUUAACAAAAUAUCAAUAGUAUGGGUCCUGAUAAAUUUGAAACCAGUUUGUAGUUGUAUUUUAUUUUUUAAAAAUAAAAACUACAUUAAAUUAAAGCUAAACAGAAUCGCCACAUGUAUCAGUUCAAGAUAUGAAAAUUUCCAUGCAUUAUUCAUGCUUGCUGAUUUGCAUGAAGGGUACAAAUAAUUCUAGAGUUAUAAAACAAUGAUGAAACAAUACACACACAGCCUUUUUCUGCUGUCUAAUGCAGUGUGCCAUCAAAUAUUUAGUUUAAAAAAAAAAAAAAAAAGAUUUUCAAAAAUAUUUGACAAUCUGUGAAAUGUUGAAGCCAGGAUUAGAGCGUUUUGCCUGAAUCGUGAACCACUGCAGUCCUGACGAUGUGACGUGUGAUAAAUCCACUUAGCACACUACAUGAACACCACCUCAUCUCCUUGAUCCCUCUCUGUUUGAUUCCUGCUCCCUGACACACACACACACACACACACACACACACACACACACACACACACACACACACACGAGAGUUGGGGCUAGGCAGGUGAUAAUCUGAUCAGUUAGUCAUUAAACCGAGUCCCAUGGGGUCAGUUCAACUUCAGAGAGGGGACGUGUGGCACCAUGAACUACACGAACAUCCUGAAAUAGAAUGUAGUGACUGGAGGAGAGAAUAUGGAGAGAAGUGGAGAGCAAAAAUAUCAUGGUUUUACAACAAAGGGUAUGGAGAGUGUGAAAAGGUUAAAAGGUUAACCAUUUGAGAAAGAAAGAAAUAAAGAAAGAAUAGGUUAGGAGAGCAGGUGAGGAGAGGAGAGGGCAGGUGAGGUGAGUAGAGGGGAGGGCAGGUGAGGUGAGGAGAGGUGAGGGGAUGGUAGGUGAGGAGAGGUGAGGGCACGUGAGGAGAGGUGAGGGCAGAUGAGGUGAGGGCAUGUGAGGAGAGGUGAGGGCAGAUGAGGUGAGGUAAGGGCAAGUGAGGUGAGAGCAGGUGAGGAGAGGAGAGGGCAGGUGAGGAGAGGAGAGGAGAGGGCAGGUGAGGAGAGGAGAGGGCAGGGCAGGUGAGGAGAGGGCAGGGCAGGUGAGGAGAGGGCAGGGCAGGAGAGGUGAGGGCACGUAAGGAGAGGUGAGGGCAGGUGAGGGCACGUAAGGAGAGGUGAGGGCACGUGAGGAGAGGGCAGGUGAGGUGAAGAGAGGGCAGGUGAGGGCACGUGAGGAGAGGAGAGGGCAGGUGAGGAGUUUUUAGACUCCAGUGUGAAGGGGUGUAAAGUGUGAGGUGUUUGGAGGGAAAUGCACUGAGGGUGGAACUGGGCAUCUCAGACAGCUAACAGCACAAACAAGAAACUACACUGUUCACUCCUUGCUCUUACCUGUACAACGGCGACGGAGUGAGAACACACAACACGGCACAUUUAACACACGAGAGAGCGUUUUAAGAAAAAAAAAAAAGCCUUUAUUUUACAAUUUUAAAAAGCAAUAUUAAGCACAAAGAGUGAACUUUGAUAUAAACUUUUUUUUUCCUGCAUAAAAAUGGUGGCGUGUGCACGUUGUGCUUGCAUUGCAAACUGUGUCCAGCCUCUUGGGGCUCUCGCCGUCUCGCCUUUUUAUUGCAUAUGUCACACGUGACAGACUCCUCGUGGGUCUGCUUCCAGUUCAGGACUGUGCAGAAGACAAGGAAGAGGAGGAGAUGAAGAAACAAGAAAAAAAACAAAAACAAAACCCAAACAGACAGAAAAGAAAUGCACACAGUAGCAGCUCUCUGAAGAAGGUCUUGCACAUUGUCCAGAGGGGGGAAAUAAAACAAUAAUUAUAAACCAACGAAUGAUUAGAAUAAAUUAACAGAGUGACACUCACCGCAGUUGUGCUUUAACGCUGUUUACACAAACAGCUAACCCUAAUUAAAAACACAAAGCAACUCAGAUAUGAAUCAGAGAUUCCUGUGACAGAUAUGCUGCCCCAAGUUUCUAAUUAUUUAGCGCAUAAUGCUAGCUGAACAGUUGCACACAUCCCCAUAGACAGCUGUGAUUAUUAUAUUCUCUCCUCUGUAUCUCUCUCUACUCUAUAGAAAUCUACUCUUACAAAACUAAACCAUAUUACAAGGCAUUUCCCCUUAUAAAGGAAGGCAGAUUCACGCUCCUAUUUAUAUCACCACCAUUCAUCACACAGCAAGUUACUUAAAAAAAAAAUAAAAUAAAAACAAAACACUCAACCUUUAAAGACUUUGGUAUGAACAAAAGAUUUUCAGAUCCUCCUAGUAACGGAAUAAGAUUGUUUCCCUUUGAAGAACCAAGUCCUGUUAUAAUGCUAAGUAUGAAAUGUGCAUAGAAAUAUUCAUGAGAUGAACGUUCACGCCAGUGAAACACCACUGAUAGAAAAUUGAUGUUUGAGGAGAAGACACUCAAAAAAAAAAAAAAAAAAAAAAAAGAAAAAGAAAAAAAAAAAAGUUGUCUCUUAAGAUAAAUCAGUCAUGAGGCGUGAAGUCUCUUACAGAAAACUCCGCCUAAGAAGCAGCGACAAGGUCCCGAGUAAAACUUCCUCACGUCUCCUACAAUCUAUUCUGAGCUUUUACUCUUUAAGUGAACAAUUCUACUGUUGGUAUGUGCGGAGUAAAACGGCCAACGGGCAGCGGGUCAGGCUGGGCAGAACACUGUACUUCUGUGUGUCUUGGCUGAGACUGGGAAAAGAGACUGAGCUCACCAGGGUAAAGGUUCUGCUACUAAGCUUCAGAUAUCCGUGCUUCUGAGGACCACAAGGUGAUCAAGUCAAACACUUACACACCCUCACGCACACACACCUUGGAAAACAUCUCAAUUUAUGAAAGAGCUAUGCUGCACUGGGGAAGGCUUUGCACACUUUACAUUUCUUCCACUAGCUUGCAUUUUGAGCUGAUUAUUUAUCUAUAGAAGAGAAAGACAAAUCUUUCUCAUACCAAGACUUGAAUUACAUUCUCUGGCUUUUUUUUUUUUUUAAUAUAAUAAUUUUGUACUCUUUAUAAAAAACAAAAAAACAAACAAACAAAAAAAAAACAAACAAACAAAAACAAAAAACAAAAACUGCCCUCAUGAGUUACUGAUAAUAUUACACUUUCUCUUAAACAAGAGGGAAAAAAAACCUUUGGUAACACCAACAUUUUACCAGUAACUAGAGCUUGACCAUAAAGGCUUUUUCCAACAGGAGCCAACUGUCAAAGGUCUGCUUUUGUUCAUCCUGAUAUCAAGUUGACGACAUACCUCAUUCAAUUUUUACUGACGUUAGCUUGUUCUGAUGAUGACUUGCAUUCAUCAUUCAUGCAUACUUUGCAGCUCAGAGUACUUCUGGUAUGUGAGAGUUAUAUAACGUUGAUGUGAAGUCAGGGUAAUUACAUAUAACUGUCAAUUAGGGUGCUGAGACUGUUACAAGAUUUAGAACAAGCUCAAAUAUUCAACGACUAAAGAACUUACCAAAGAUGAAAAUAUGAUCAGUCAUGACAGUGUCAUGGCAUUCCCGGAAAUAUUAAUAGAAAUAUACUAUAGGUACACUGAACUGCAAAGUCAAAGUCAGUUGUCAUGACGAUCUAACGCAGCACAGAUUUAUGUCAACAAAUAUCUCUCACUUGACACUAUGGGGUUAUGAAAGCAAUCAUUACACCCGUUUGUUAGACGCCUUAAUACAUGCUUAUGUGGGUUUUAUGUAGGAGUCAAAUAACUAUUAAUCACUGCCUUUAAGUAAAAGUUACCAAAACUUGUAUAGCUUAUGAGAAUCAGUCAUUAUCUUCUGCUCCACUGAACAGAUUCAGUGUAGUCUGUAGUUUGAUGUACGAACAGCAUACUUCACUUAUAUGAAGUCAAGCCAGAUGUUCUGUCUAUCUGCAUUCCCGAGGGCAUUCGCUCAGCUCGUGAUUUAGAGACAAACGCCAACACAAGGUAACGGUUUAGGGUUUAGGGAAAGGGGGGAAAACAAAAAUAAAAAGGGAAAUGGGUCAUGCUACAACGCUGCAAUCAACAAUCCAUAAACUUUCAUUGUGUGUCCAAUUCAAACCUACUGUGACAAGGACUGAGUAGAAACUAAAUAAUUAAUGUAAACCCUUUAAAGAUCAUACACAUAUGUGAAGUGUCCAUUUUACAUAAAGGAACCAAAUGAUGCGGUCACUGAUAUGAUGCGAGUGAACAGAAAGUGACCAACACCUAGCGCGGUUCAGAAUGUUGGGUUUGUUUUAUGAAGACAUUUAGUUUCCUACAGCUUUUAGCAUUUGGUUAAGAUGACAGCGAAUGGUCGGUCAUGCUACUGAAAUGUUUCGGUAGAACUGGAGAGUCUGCAGUAAACGGUUCUCAGUCACCCUGCCCCAGAGGAGCACUGGGGAAAUUCAUUGGCUCACAUUGCUGCUACAUGCGGUUCACGAUCAACCAAAACUAUUAUGGAUUUAAGACUCAAUCAAAGACAAUGUCCGAAGAUUACGCCUUGCUAGCCCCCAAGAAACAACAUUUAUGGAUUACUUACUCAAACUUUUUCGAAAAUAAUUUUAUAUUGUUUUUGUUAGAAGACCAGUGAACUAGCAUUAACUACUUCUGUGGCCUAAUAUACUUUCUCCAUUUAUGUUUCAUAUUGGUUCCGGUGUGCCUUAUGGUGAGCAUGUAAAAAAAAAAAAAUAAAUGCAUGUUUGAUUGUUGUGUACUACAUAAUUCACCCUAAAGUCUUGCCCGUAACAUAUCCAUACCACUACAGCAGGAGCAGAUUUACAUUAAGAUAUAUAUAUAUAU